AGCGCAUUCGUCUAGGGGCCAAGGACACCACCGUCUCAAGGUGGAGAUCACGGGUUCGAAUCCCGUAUGCGCUACCA
rnacentral:tRNA from 1 species